rnacentral:misc_RNA from 1 species
GAUGAAGAACGUAGUGAAAUGCGAUAAGUAAUGUGAAUUGCAGAAUUCAGUGAAUCAUCGAAUCUUUGAACGCACAUUGCGCCCAUUAGUAUUCUAGUGGGCAUGCCUGUUUGAGCGUCAUUUCAACCCUUAAGCCUAGCUUAGUGUUGGGAAUCUGCUGUAUUGCAGUUCCUCAAAUACAACGGCGGAUCUGUAACAUCCUCUGAGCGUAGUAAAUUUUUAUCUCGCUUUUGUUAGGUGUUGCAGCUCUCAGCCGCUAAACCCCCCAAUUUUUGUGGUUGACCUCGGAUCAGGUAGGAAUACCCGCUGAACUUAAGCAUAUCAAUAAGCGGAGGA